ensembl:lncRNA
GUUACUGGAGCUCAAGGCUUUCUGACUCCUGUUAGUGUGGGUCGGGGUAGAGGUGUGUUGGGGUUGCCUAUCCCUUUCCCUCAGCUUAGUGUGUCUGUGGGUACUACUGUAGGGAUGGCAGCGAGGACUCCACGUCCUGUUAGUGACACACCACAUGCUGCUCACACAGAACAAACUAGUUUCCCUGCGCAACAGGCCCCCUGCACUUCCACUCCUUUAACUACAGAGGACCUUGUAGGCCAGAUGAGUGGCAUCGUGCAACACAUAGGUCAACAACUAGCAGACAGCAUUCUCACACACUUGAGUAGGUCUAGUCCAGCGGCGGCUUUGUCUACUCCAAGUGUACACAGUGGUAGCUACGCUCCAGCUCAGGACUCUGUGUCAUCAACUCAGCUACAUGUAAUGAGUCAGAGGAAGGUGAGAGAUCCCCCUACUUUCAGAGGUGAGAGAUCCCCCUACUUUCAGAGGUGAGAAUUUAGACUCAUUUACUCUUGAAGAGUGGAUUGAGCUAAUGCAAACUUUCAUCCGAGUCCAAUGCUUGAAGGAAACAAAACACAACGCAGGUUACACAAGCAUGCUGGGCAGAUACUCGCCGGGCGGAGAUGUAAAGAUCGACCUGCCUGCUCCUUUUACCGGGGACGGGAGCCAGAGUUUCCUCAGCUGGGCGAGGCAGUUGGAGGUGGCCGUCGGCGCCACGGCAGGGGGCGGCCAAGGCUGUACGGAGGAGCUGGUGAGGAUUCUUCCUACUCGCCUCGGAAAGUCCGCUUUUCUGCUGUGGGACAGUCUUCCUGAUGCGACCAAGUCAGAUUAUGCUAUUAAAGAGAGGCUGGGAGCAGCGUUUGGACAGAGACAGUUAAUGGACCGGUUCAGAGCAAGCCUGUCAGCCCGUGUGUGUGCUUCUGGUGAAAACCUGGAGGUGUACGCUCCGGAUUAUGGUGGUGUUGCACAGAGGGAGGAGAAGUUUCGGCGCUUCCUGGCUGGUCUUGACCCGGCGUUGAAGGCCAAGUGUUUGGAGAUGGGCGCCACGGACCUGGAGGAGGCUUUACACUUGGCGGAGUGAUGUGAGAACGCCAGAAUGACCCUAUAGAGAGACUACGCGAGUACUGCUGCUGCUUCCUACGGUGGUGGGGGCCCAUCUGUACAGUCCGUGUCGGUCUCUGAUGGUCUCCAGAGAGCUGUUGAGAAGCUAACAGAGGACAUGCACACUAGGGAUGGGAUAUAUUUUUAGCUAUUUUUACAACUUCAAAAAAGCCCCGCAAAUUGUAAUUGAAAUGAACUGGCACAGGUGGAUAACAUACUAAGUAGCGCUGAUC